rnacentral:rRNA from 1 species
AGAGUUGAUCAGUGGCUCAGGACGAACGCUGGCGGCGUGCCUAACACAUGCAAGUCGAGCGAGAUGAACCCUUCGGGGUGAUUCUAGCGGCGGACGGGUGAGUAACACGUGGGUAACCUGCCUCAAAGAGGGGGAUAGCCUCCCGAAAGGGAGAUUAAUACCGCAUAACAUUAUUUCUUCGCAUGAAGAGAUAAUCAAAGGAGUAAUCCGCUUUGAGAUGGACCCGCGACGCAUUAGCUAGUUGGUGAGGUAAUGGCUCACCAAGGCGACGAUGCGUAGCCGACCUGAGAGGGUGAUCGGCCACAUUGGAACUGAGAUACGGUCCAGACUCCUACGGGAGGCAGCAGUGGGGAAUAUUGCGCAAUGGGGGAAACCCUGACGCAAGCAACGCCGCGUGGGUGAAGAAGGCCUUCGGGUUGUAAAGCUCUGUCUUCUGGGACGAUAAUGACGGUACCAGAGGAGGAAGCCACGGCUAACUACGUGCCAGCAGCUGC